UACGAAGGGGGCUAGCGUUGCUCGGAAUUACUGGGCGUAAAGGGCGCGUAGGCGGACAGUUUAGUCAGAGGUGAAAGCCCAGGGCUCAACCCUGGAAUUGCCUUUGAUACUGGCUGUCUUGAGUACGGGAGAGGUGUGUGGAACUCCGAGUGUAGAGGUGAAAUUCGUAGAUAUUCGGAAGAACACCAGUGGCGAAGGCGACACACUGGCCCGUUACCGACGCUCAGGCGCGACAGCGUGGGGAGCAAACAGG
rnacentral:rRNA from 1 species